rnacentral:lncRNA from 1 species
UAUAAAUAGAAUCGUUAGGUUAGCGGUGACAGUAGAAUGCAAUCUUCUGGAAAGUUCAGCAUGGAAUCCCAAGGAGAGCGAAGACCCAGCUAGCUAGAAGGAGCCCAGGGCAAAAGGGAGGACUGUUGAUAAGUGAUCCAUCGCCAAUAUCAAAGGACAAAGGAUCCCUGUAAGCUAACAUUCAAAAUCCUCUUCUGACUUCAUUUUGGAGAAGGAAAUGGCAGCUGGAUGGCGGUGUGCACAUCCUGACCCAGCCCGCCACACUUCCAGAUUGCCUGGGAUGGCAACCCUGCAGAAGGAUGGCCGAGAUGUCACAAUACCCCAGCCAACCUCUAAGAGCAGAGCAGUUACCAGCAAGAAUAUCCUGGGAAAAUGAAAAGAACUAGAAACCGCAGACAUGGUGAUCGCCAGUGUUGACGGAAGCCCGGGUUCUUUCCUUACCCUCCAAGUGGUUUUUGCUUCUGAAGUUGAACCUAAUGUUUUCUCUUUUGUAGACACAAAGUCACAUCACACGUAACUGGAAUGCUCCUCUCUUCGCCUUACGCAUGUCCUAGACAUGGCCUUACCCUUUUGUACUCCCUUUCUCCUUUGAGGAAACAUGGACAUUUAACAGAACAGCUAGGAAAACAUUACAGUCAGAACUCAGUCACACAGGUAAGGGAGAGACUCCAUAUCUAAGAAUCAGAAUAUGCUAUUUUUAGUCAGGUGGGAUAAUAGAAAACUUCCUCUUGCUCAUGUAGAACUCUCAUGAUUGUCUCUACCGAGGCUGUCACUGAACGUAUUUUCAUGAAGUUCUGUGUUUCAACAUUUAUCCAAGUAGUAUGUAGCUAUUUCUUACCAGACUGAACUGCCUCUUGCUUACUUCAAUGUAAAAGAGGAAUUGUGAAAGAUUUAUAGUUAGAAGUUAGAAGUGACUGAUAGAAUUUCUGCCCUCCUGAGCCUUGGUUAGUAGCUUGGGGUG